UCCGGUGGUAUAUGAUGGACCCGCGUCUGAUUAGCCAGUUGGCAGGGUAACGGCCUACCAAAGCGACGAUCAGUAGCCGGCCUGAGAGGGUGAACGGCCACAUUGGGACUGAGACACGGCCCAAACUCCUACGGGAGGCAGCAGUGGGGAAUAUUGCACAAUGGGGGAAACCCUGAUGCAGCGACGCCGCGUGAGUGAAGAAGUAUUUCGGUAUGUAAAGCUCUAUCAGCAGGGAAGAAAAUGACGGUACCUGAGUAAGAAGCCCCGGCUAACUACGUGCCAGCAGCCGCGGUAAUACGUAGGGGGCAAGCGUUAUCCGGAUUUACUGGGUGUAAAGGGAGCGUAGACGGCGAGACAAGUCUGAAGUGAAAACCCGGGGCUCAACCCUGGGACUGCUUUGGAAACUGCCUGGCUGGAGUGCAGGAGAGGUAAGUGGAAUUCCUAGUGUAGCGGUGAAAUGCGUAGAUAUUAGGAGGAACACCAGUGGCGAAGGCGGCUUACUGGACUGUAACUGACGUUGAGGCUCGAAAGCGUGGGGAGCAAACAGGAUUAGAUACCCUGGUAGUCCACGCCGUAAACGAUGAUCACUAGGUGUUGGGGGCCUAUAGGCCUUCGGUGCCGUCGCAAACGCAAUAAGUGAUCCACCUGGGGAGUACGUUCGCAAGA
rnacentral:rRNA from 1 species